UAAUACGGAGGGGGCUAGCGUUGUUCGGAAUUACUGGGCGUAAAGCGUACGUAGGCGGCUUUGUAAGUUAGAGGUGAAAGCCCGGAGCUCAACUCCGGAAUUGCCUUUAAGACUGCAUCGCUUGAAUCAUGGAGAGGUUAGUGGAAUUCCGAGUGUAGAGGUGAAAUUCGUAGAUAUUCGGAAGAACACCAGUGGCGAAGGCGACUAACUGGACAUGUAUUGACGCUGAGGUACGAAAGCGUGGGGAGCAAACAGGAUUAGAUACCCUGGUAGUCCACGCCGUAAACGAUGAUGACUAGCUGUCGGGGCUCUUGGAGUUUCGGUGGCGCAGCUAACGCGUUAAGUCAUCCGCCUGGGGAGUACGGCCGCAAGGUUA
rnacentral:rRNA from 1 species